AAUAACUUUUUACAAACUGUUCAGACCUGGUGAAUAUAGUGUCUUCUCCAACCGAAUGGACGACUUUCUCAGAGUAUUUGGAGGAAUUACGGAACAAUAAGAAAGAAUUCACAAGUUUUUCUUCAUCUUUAAUUUUUGGUAGUGUAAAUAUUAUAGCGGAUUCUUUGACAAGAAAAAUCCGUAUCGAACCGCAUCAUAUUACCUAUGUAAACAACAUUUCUUAGGAAUGACUCUUUUAAGCUAAAUUAUUAGCGGUCGACAACAAAAAUAAAAGAA
rnacentral:sRNA from 1 species